rnacentral:rRNA from 1 species
GGCAACCCUGAUCCAGCCAUGCCACGUGUGUGAAGAAGGCCUUAGGGUUGUAAAGCACUCUCAGUAGGGAGGAAGGCCCAGUAGUUAAUACCUGCAGGGAUUGACGUUACCUACAGAAGCAGCACCGGCUAACUCCGUGCCAGCAGCCGCGGUAAUACGGAGGGUGCAAGCGUUAAUCGGAAUUACUGGGCGUAAAGCGCGCGUAGGCGGUUUGUUAAGUGAGAUGUGAAAGCCCAGGGCUCAACCUUGGAACUGCAUCUCAUACUGGCUGGCUAGAGUACGGUAGAGGGGGGUAGAAUUCCA